rnacentral:misc_RNA from 1 species
AAGUCGUAACAAGGUUUCCGUAGGUGAACCUGCGGAAGGAUCAUUACCGAGUUUCAGGCUGAAAAGUCUGUGAUUCCACACUGUGUUUUAAGUUGGUUGUCCGUAAAAGGACGCCGACGCAAACCAUUAUUCACUAGAAUAAAACAAAACUUUCAACAACGGAUCUCUUGGUUCUG